UUAAGCGACUAAGCGUACACGGUGGAUGCCCUGGCAGUCAGAGGCGAUGAAGGACGUGCUAAUCUGCGAUAAGCGUCGGUAAGGUGAUAUGAACCGUUAUAACCGGCGAUUUCCGAAUGGGGAAACCCAGUGUGAUUCGUCACACUAUCAUUAACUGAAUCCAUAGGUUAAUGAGGCGAACCGGGGGAACUGAAACAUCUAAGUACCCCGAGGAAAAGAAAUCAACCGAGAUUCCCCCAGUAGCGGCGAGCGAACGGGGAGGAGCCCAGAGCCUGAAUCAGUGUGUGUGUUAGUGGAAGCGUCUGGAAAGGCGCGCGAUACAGGGUGACAGCCCCGUACACAAAAAUGCACAUGCUGUGAGCUCGAUGAGUAGGGCGGGACACGUGGUAUCCUGUCUGAAUAUGGGGGGACCAUCCUCCAAGGCUAAAUACUCCUGACUGACCGAUAGUGAACCAGUACCGUGAGGGAAAGGCGAAAAGAACCCCGGCGAGGGGAGUGAAAAAGAACCUGAAACCGUGUACGUACAAGCAGUGGGAGCCUCUUAAUGGGGUGACUGCGUACCUUUUGUAUAAUGGGUCAGCGACUUAUAUUCUGUAGCAAGGUUAACCGAAUAGGGGAGCCGAAGGGAAACCGAGUCUUAACUGGGCGUUAAGUUGCAGGGUAUAGACCCGAAACCCGGUGAUCUAGCCAUGGGCAGGUUGAAGGUUGGGUAACACUAACUGGAGGACCGAACCGACUAAUGUUGAAAAAUUAGCGGAUGACUUGUGGCUGGGGGUGAAAGGCCAAUCAAACCGGGAGAUAGCUGGUUCUCCCCGAAAGCUAUUUAGGUAGCGCCUCGUGAAUUCAUCUCCGGGGGUAGAGCACUGUUUCGGCAAGGGGGUCAUCCCGACUUACCAACCCGAUGCAAACUGCGAAUACCGGAGAAUGUUAUCACGGGAGACACACGGCGGGUGCUAACGUCCGUCGUGAAGAGGGAAACAACCCAGACCGCCAGCUAAGGUCCCAAAGUCAUGGUUAAGUGGGAAACGAUGUGGGAAGGCCCAGACAGCCAGGAUGUUGGCUUAGAAGCAGCCAUCAUUUAAAGAAAGCGUAAUAGCUCACUGGUCGAGUCGGCCUGCGCGGAAGAUGUAACGGGGCUAAACCAUGCACCGAAGCUGCGGCAGCGACACUAUGUGUUGUUGGGUAGGGGAGCGUUCUGUAAGCCUGUGAAGGUGGCCUGUGAGGGUUGCUGGAGGUAUCAGAAGUGCGAAUGCUGACAUAAGUAACGAUAAAGCGGGUGAAAAGCCCGCUCGCCGGAAGACCAAGGGUUCCUGUCCAACGUUAAUCGGGGCAGGGUGAGUCGACCCCUAAGGCGAGGCCGAAAGGCGUAGUCGAUGGGAAACAGGUUAAUAUUCCUGUACUUGGUGUUACUGCGAAGGGGGACGGAGAAGGCUAUGUUGGCCGGGCGACGGUUGUCCCGGUUUAAGCGUGUAGGCUGGUUUUCCAGGCAAAUCCGGAAAACCAAGGCUGAGGCGUGAUGACGAGGCACUACGGUGCUGAAGUGACAAAUGCCCUGCUUCCAGGAAAAGCCUCUAAGCAUCAGGUAACAUCAAAUCGUACCCCAAACCGACACAGGUGGUCAGGUAGAGAAUACCAAGGCGCUUGAGAGAACUCGGGUGAAGGAACUAGGCAAAAUGGUGCCGUAACUUCGGGAGAAGGCACGCUGAUAUGUAGGUGAAGCGACUUGCUCGUGGAGCUGAAAUCAGUCGAAGAUACCAGCUGGCUGCAACUGUUUAUUAAAAACACAGCACUGUGCAAACACGAAAGUGGACGUAUACGGUGUGACGCCUGCCCGGUGCCGGAAGGUUAAUUGAUGGGGUUAGCGGUAACGCGAAGCUCUUGAUCGAAGCCCCGGUAAACGGCGGCCGUAACUAUAACGGUCCUAAGGUAGCGAAAUUCCUUGUCGGGUAAGUUCCGACCUGCACGAAUGGCGUAAUGAUGGCCAGGCUGUCUCCACCCGAGACUCAGUGAAAUUGAACUCGCUGUGAAGAUGCAGUGUACCCGCGGCAAGACGGAAAGACCCCGUGAACCUUUACUAUAGCUUGACACUGAACAUUGAGCCUUGAUGUGUAGGAUAGGUGGGAGGCUUUGAAGUGUGGACGCCAGUCUGCAUGGAGCCGACCUUGAAAUACCACCCUUUAAUGUUUGAUGUUCUAACGUUGGCCCCUAAUCGGGGUUGCGGACAGUGUCUGGUGGGUAGUUUGACUGGGGCGGUCUCCUCCUAAAGAGUAACGGAGGAGCACGAAGGUUGGCUAAUCCUGGUCGGACAUCAGGAGGUUAGUGCAAUGGCAUAAGCCAGCUUGACUGCGAGCGUGACGGCGCGAGCAGGUGCGAAAGCAGGUCAUAGUGAUCCGGUGGUUCUGAAUGGAAGGGCCAUCGCUCAACGGAUAAAAGGUACUCCGGGGAUAACAGGCUGAUACCGCCCAAGAGUUCAUAUCGACGGCGGUGUUUGGCACCUCGAUGUCGGCUCAUCACAUCCUGGGGCUGAAGUAGGUCCCAAGGGUAUGGCUGUUCGCCAUUUAAAGUGGUACGCGAGCUGGGUUUAGAACGUCGUGAGACAGUUCGGUCCCUAUCUGCCGUGGGCGCUGGAGAACUGAGGGGGGCUGCUCCUAGUACGAGAGGACCGGAGUGGACGUAUCACUGGUGUUCGGGUUGUCAUGCCAAUGGCACUGCCCGGUAGCUAAAUGCGGAAGAGAUAAGUGCUGAAAGCAUCUAAGCACGAAACUUGCCCCGAGAUGAGUUCUCCCUGAGACUUAGAGUCUCCUGAAGGAACGUUGAAGACGACGACGUUGAUAGGCCGGGUGUGUAAGCGCAGCGAUGCGUUGAGCUAACCGGUACUAAUGAACCGUGAGGCUUAACCU
rnacentral:rRNA from 1 species